ensembl:lncRNA
GUGCGUGUGUGUGCGUGUGUGUGCGUGUGCGUGUGCGUGUGUGUGUGUGUGUGGUAGGUUGUUGCUGAAUGCGUCCACAUGCGCACCGCGGUCUCUGAGUUCCGCAUGCGUCUCUCGUCUCUCGUCUCUCGUCUGUUUUCUAACAGCAUCAAGUGCAUUUUAAAAUGAUCGCAUGACUAAAUGAUCCCCAAACUAAACGCUGCCGCGUCCUUCUGACGCGCAGCAUCGUUGUAUGAACCGAUCAUACGUGUGUUCCUGCCGACUCACGCUGGGUUUGAUGCUUCUGAAGGAAAGAAUAAUAAAACAUGGAUUACUGGGCGAACCGGACCGGACAUGUGCACCAUCAUGUACGAAAUAAAGUAAUAAUAAUGUCUCUAGCAGGUUCAUUUGGCCCCCAGCGAAGCAGUGAGACGUGUAGCUUAGCUUAGCAUAAGACGCUCAGCUCCUCCCCUAGUUUGCUGAAUAAAAACUAUAUUGUAAAAGAACAUAAAAGGUUCUUGUUGAAGUCGUUCGUUACCUCCUGAGCCACCGUCUGUAAUAGAAAGCUGCACAUGUCGUUGAGGUGGAGCGACUGGACAUUUCUGUCCUGUCUUAAUGUCUCGUCUUUAUUAGCUCGGCCCGCUAGCACUUUUUGACUGAAGUAGGCAAGUGCCCCCCCCCCCGCUUUCAGUCUCCAUGCUAAGCUAGGCUAAUCGUUUCGGUACAUGAAGGACUCGCUCAAUGUGCAGCCGUUUCUCCUCAAGAAAACGCAAAGACGUUCUACUAAUCUGCUUCUUCAAUUAGGUUUUAAAGGAACACUUGUUUCCUCCCAGGUUACAAUCACAGUGUUAAAUACCUUAAAACUGUGAAGGACCAAAGAAGCGAUAAAAGGUAUAAAACGAUGGAAUCACUUGGUUUUCUUAACAUGACAGGUUUGCUAAAUAAAAUAAGUAGCUUGUCAUGUCGUUGUUUCAUGGAUGUACGUUUUAAAUUCUCUCUUGAUGAAGCUCCUCUCCACACUUUGCUCCGUGCUGCUCCUCCCUGCGGCGUAGAAGGUGAAGGUCACGGGUUCAGUGUGGUCGGAGAACCACAGGGAGGCUAAAUGGAUCCCCUGAGACUCUGAGCUGCACCGACUCAGCAGAAAACAGCCGGUGCUGCCUUCAAGGUCACAUUGCUCUUGAUUGUGUCUGCGGCCCAUUUGGUGAUGUUGGUGGAGGUGAUGGUGGUGGUGGCGGUUCGUGUGCCUGAGCACAAAGUGAAGGUGUCUCCUCAGACUGUACAAGCGUUUAGAAAACAAAGGAAGUGCCUUUUUUGAGCAAGAACGUUCUGAACACUGCUGGUUUCUAUCUGUAACUGAACUGUGAGUCAUUUAAAGAUCAAAAAAUAAAACAUUAAAA